rnacentral:rRNA from 1 species
AUACGUAGGGGGCGAGCGUUGUCCGGAAUUAUUGGGCGUAAAGCGCGCGCAGGCGGUUUGGUAAGUUGGAUGUGAAAGCUCCUGGCUUAACUGGGAGAGGUCGUUCAAAACUACCAGACUAGAGAAUGGGAGAGGGAAGUGGAAUUCCGGGUGUAGUGGUGAAAUGCGUAGAUAUCCGGAGGAACACCAGUGGCGAAAGCGGCUUCCUGGACCAUUUCUGACGCUAAGACGCGAAAGCUAGGGGAGCGAACGGGAUUAGAGACCCCGGUAGUCCUAGCUGUAAACGAUGUAGACUUGGCGUUGGCGGAGUUAAAUCUGCCAGUGCCGGAGCUAACGCGUUAAGUCUACCGCCUGGGGACUACGACCGCAAGGUUAAA